rnacentral:rRNA from 1 species
UGGUGACUGAGUGGCGGACGGGUGAGUAACGCGUGGGUAACCUGCCUCAUACAGGGGGAUAACAGUUAGAAAUGACUGCUAAUACCGCAUAAGACCACAGCACCGCAUGGUGCAGGGGUAAAAACUCCGGUGGUAUGAGAUGGACCCGCGUCUGAUUAGGUAGUUGGUGGGGUAACGGCCUACCAAGCCGACGAUCAGUAGCCGACCUGAGAGGGUGACCGGCCACAUUGGGACUGAGACACGGCCCAAACUCCUACGGGAGGCAGCAGUGGGGAAUAUUGCACAAUGGGGGAAACCCUGAUGCAGCGACGCCGCGUGAGCGAUGAAGUAUUUCGGUAUGUAAAGCUCUAUCUGCAGGGAAGAAAAUGACGGUACCUGACUAAGAAGCACCGGCUAAAUACGUGCCAGCAGCCGCGGUAAUACGUAUGGUGCAAGCGUUAUCCGGAUUUACUGGGUGUAAAGGGAGCGUAGACGGAGUGGCAAGUCUGAUGUGAAAACCCGGGGCUCAACCCCGGGACUGCAUUGGAAACUGUCAAUCUGGAGUACCGGAGAGGUAAGCGGAAUUCCUAGUGUAGCGGUGAAAUGCGUAGAUAUUAGGAGGAACACCAGUGGCGAAGGCGGCUUACUGGACGGUAACUGACGUUGAGGCUCGAAAGCGUGGGGAGCAAACAGGAUUAGAUACCCU